rnacentral:rRNA from 1 species
UGGGGAGUCUUGCACAAUGGGGGAAACCCUGAUGCAGCGACGCCGCGUGAGCGAUGAAGGUUUUCGAAUCGUAAAGCUCUGUCCUAUGGGAAGAUAAUGACGGUACCAUGGGAGGAAGCCCCGGCUAACUACGUGCCAGCAGCCGCGGUAAUACGUAGGGGGCGAGCGUUGUCCGGAAUUACUGGGCGUAAAGGGUUCGCAGGCGGCAUGGCAAGUCCGAUGUAAAAGGCGAAGGCUCAACCUUCGUAAGCAUCGGAAACUGUCAAGCUUGAGUGAAGGAGAGGCAAGUGGAAUUCCUAGUGUAGCGGUGGAAUGCGUAGAUAUUAGGAGGAAUACCGGUGGCGAAGGCGACUUGCUGGACUUCAACUGACGCUGAGGAACGAAAGCGUGGGUAGCAAACAGG